rnacentral:lncRNA from 1 species
GCACCUGUUGGUUCCAGGCAACCUGAAAGCCCCUGUCUAAGGAACUCUUCCCUUCUCACACACACAGUGUGUCUCUGCUUGCAAAUGCCAAAUACAUUGGCUGGCCUGUAAAUUCUAUGAGCUUCGGUGUUGUUUCUCCUGGAAAGAAUAAUCCUAAUACUUCUCCCUGAAGUCUAGGAUUCUCCCUUGCCCACCCCCACCCCCCCAGAUUCCCUCUUUUGCAGAAACUGAGUGAGAGCAGAACUACCCUCACUUUCCUAGAGGUCACUGAGUCCUUCCCACAAUCCAGGGCUCUCAGGAGUAAGUCCUGGACCUGGAGGGACCAGCUACUGGCAUGUCAUCUGCAGGGACAGGUGGGAUAGGUGCCCACCUAUGCCCACCGACUCUGCCUCUUGCUGCGGGCUGAUAGAGAAGGAGGUGGGGGGCAGGAGGUGAGGCAGGGCUUGCCCCACACUCUCCUCUCCUGGGAACCCACGGAUCCUUGGCAAGUGGUAGAACCCCUCACAGGUGAAAAAGGGAGUCAUGGGGGGCGGUGCCCUCUGAAGGAUUUAACUGUUGGGUUGACAGUAAGAGCCGCUUUUGUUACAUGGCGUGUCUGGCUCUCCCUCCGAAGCCCAGUCAUCCCUCCUGCACAAAAGAUGGAUUUUGGACAUACCUGGAAUUGGGUUUGAAUCCUGGCUCUGGUUUUUAUGGGCUUGUGUGUCCUUUGAUGGUGUAACUUUCCCAAAUCUCAGUUUCUUCCUGUGCAGAUUGGGAGGAAACAAGUGCUGUGGGGAGGGACCAGCGAGCCAUGCUCCUAAAGUGCCAGGGGAGAACCCAGUGUGAUGCAAAUGUACCAGAAUAAAUCGUUGCUUUCAAAACAGGUGUCACUGCCUCUGCUCCUCCCCCAGCAUCCUCGGCAGUUCAGGCACCACUGUUGAGUCUCCUGGGAGAAUGAUAAACCCGAUGAGGAUCUUAUAAGAAUGAAGGGUGGAAUACAUUGUAUGCUUUGUUUUUGUUUAUUCAUUAUUUUAUUUUAUUGCUACUCCCACAGCAUGUGGAAGUUCCCUGGUCAGGUAUAGAAUCCGCGCCACGGCAAUGACCCAAGACGAAACAGUGACAAUGCCAGAUCCUUAACCCUUGAGGCCACCAGGAAACUCCUUGUUCAUUAAUUUUUUGAUUCUUGCUUGUGUGCUGUGAAUUUUGCCUGCCUCCGUACUUAUACACGGAGCUGACAGGAGUGACUGCAGCCAAAUGGUAGAUGAGGACCAGAGUGAGGACAUGGAUGGUGGCCCCCUUCCCACACCAAGUCAGCUCAUGACAGCUGGGUCCUGCUGCUGUUGUUGCUAACGUGCCUGAGCACCAGCCACAUUCCAGACACUAGGCUAUACAUUUAUGUACAUGAUCAUUUAAUUCUUAAACUUCAGCAUCAAGCCCUAGAGCUGGUUGAUGUAGACAAUAUCUUUGAGACAGAAUUGGUAUUCUUUGUGAUUUGGAAUUAGCUGUCCAAAACAUAGGAACUGAAUUUUUUGGAUAAUGUGUUUCUCUCACUCUCUGAAUUUAUGAAAAUAACUCAGAAAAUAAUAAAUCCAGAGAGCAAACAAUACUUAUAUUAUUAACCAUAUCUUACAGAUGAAGAACCAGACUGAAGCAUGGAGAAGUUAAAUAAGGGCCCUAAGUCACACAGCCAGUAAUUGAAUUGAAAUUUAAGAAAAGGGCAAUGGGGACAUUUGUACAAUUAGUAGCCAGGUGCUUAAUCAUAACAAAUGUUAUCUAUAUAUUGAUUUAACCACGAAUCGGCAAUUUUUUUUCUGUAAAGACCAGAAAGAAAAUAUUUCAGUCUUUGUGUGUCAUAGGGUCUCUGUUGCAAGAACUCAACUCUGCCACUGUAUCAGGAAAGCAGCCACAGACAACAUAUAAACAAAGGCACAUGCCUAUUUUCCAGUAAGCUUUAAAUUUAUAAGAACAAGAGUUGACUGCAUUUGGCCAUGGGCCCUAGUUAGCUGGUUUAGAUUUAGAUUUUUCAUCACUCGUACUAUCCCAAUUAAACAAAACUCCAACCAUGAGGUAAAAAUUUGGCCAUUGAUUUUUCACUUUGGUCCUUGAACUGUUAACAUGAACAACCACCUUAUGUGGUGGGUACUCAAUAAUCCAAUCCCCUAGGAAAUGGGAGCGUAAAGAGAUGAAGAAACUUGCUCAGGCUGCACAGCCAGUAAGGAGCAGAAACAGAAUUUGGACCAAGGCGACUCAGCUCCUAACAGAGCCGUGUCCUUACCCACCAUGUAAUGCUGCUUUUUAGGGACUGCUAUGUGUAUGCCAGGGCUCUCAGCUUUGGCUGCACUUUGAUGUCACUUGGGGAAUUUUUAACAAACAUGGAUGCUAUUAUGGGCUGAACUGUGUUUCCCCCAAUUCAGAUGUUGCAGUCUCCAUCCCAUAAUCUGUUACCUCAGAUUAUGGCUGUAUUUAAAGAUGGGGUCGUUAAAGAAUGACUGAGGUAAAACGAGGUCAUUAGAGUGGGCCUUAAUCCAGUAUGACUGGUGUCCUUCCUUGGAAGACAAGACUGGACACAGACACACGCUGAGAAAAGACGAGGUGAAGGUGUAGGGAGAAAAUGGUGGGCUAUAAACCAAGGACAGAGGCCUCGGGAGGGACCACCCCUGCUGACGCCUUGUUCCCAGACAUCCAGCCUCCAGAACUAUGAGAAAGGCCUGCCUGUUGUUUAAGCCCCCCCUCUCCGGUAUUUGGUGUGUCAGCUCCAAACAAUUCAGAUACCAAGGCCAUCUCCAAUCAAUCAAUUUAGAAUCUCUGGCUGGAAUCAGGGCAGCUGAUCUGGUGAGAAGCUGUUGAUGCCAUGUAUCACCUUCAGAUAACAUGUAUGCCAACAUGUUCCUGGGGCUCAGUGCGAUUCUCCGAGGCCCUAGUACAUCCCUUCGCAUCAGACUCCACCCAGGACCAGGGUGUCCUGCAGGGGACUCCAGGUUUCCCUCCUAAAGGCUCCCUGUGAGGGCUCCAAAUUUUCUUUAAGGAUUUUGCCAGCCUCCUUCCUUCUUUUCUUUUCACUAAGACCAGUGAUGAGUUCCAUUAUGAAAACAGGUGAACAUGAUAAAAACAAAAAAGACCCAGGAUCUAUGAGUUUUUCCAGCAAUGGAACUCUGCCUUUAUUCAGUAGUGAUAAUACAAGUAAUUAGUCAUUGCCAAAACUUUAUUCAUUAAUCCUCCCGCUUGAUAUUAUGCCAUCUGGGUGAUACUUCACUGCAAUCUCCCUAAGAAAAUGGGGGAAAAAAGUUUGACUUUUCACUCUUUAGUCACCUUGAAAUAAUGAAAGUCAAAAUAAAUCCAAUUGUCUGGGAAAUGUGUCUGUUCCUAAAUAUUCAAUAAGCCAUUUAAAGCUUUGCAGAUCAUCAAGUGUCUCCAUCUAUAAAACCCCUGGUUCUUCAAUUAAAAUUCUAUUCCAGCCUUGGCUGUCCAAACAAUAUUGCAUUUAUUUGGCAUAAAAAUUAAAACUGGAAUAUUUGUUUCAUAGAAUGUAAAGGUCUGAGAAACAUUUUGGAACAAAAUCACACACACAGCCCCCCCCACACACACACACACCCUUACACAACACACACACACACACACACACACACACACACACACACACACAGAGGAGUUAAUUUAGUUGUUUUUCUUUGUUUUCUGAUUUCCAAACAAAUUUCUCUGUUGAACAUAUUGCAAAUUGAUCCUCAUGGUUCUAGUUUAUCACAGUGCAUUUUCAUCUUCCUUCGAAUCAAGCAUGUUAUACCUAAAACUACAAUGUUGCAAAGAGUCUACUUCCAUUCAUGCUAUAUUCCCUUUAGUGGCAUUGAAUCCUUAAGACAUCUGUUAAAAGUCAGGUGCAUUAAGCUAACAGCAUAACAGGGUUGCAUCUGUGGAAGUUUAUCCAACAAAUUAACCUCAUGGACACCUAAGCAGACGCUGCAGAGAGCUGGAAAGAAUAUCACAAGGAUUUUAUCAAAGCCACUUCCUACUGUGGAACCGAAGAAGUGGCAGACAGGAAGGCUUCCUUGUGGAAGCAGAGUGUGGUAUAGUUAAACGAAUGAGAUGUUUCAAGGCCAGGCGCAUGGCUCUCUUCUCCUCCAAAUAAACCUUCUACUGAGAGAAAAGUGCUUUCGCACAAUUUUGGAGGUGGUCUCUGUUUCCUGAAACUGUCAUGAUUCAGCCACAGUAUUCAGUGUCCUGUCUCUGUUGGCCAAUCUCACCAGCAGAGCUAUUUCCCUUGAUUUUUCUAAUGCGGGACUUCGAUGCAGAUGGAGGGGCAGCAUGAGGGUGGGAGGGCUCUCCAUCCAAAAUCUCUCCUGUGAGAAGAACACAGAUUAUGAUGGGCGAGAGCUGGGAGCUGAAAAUGUGUAUGUUGCGUGUGUGCUGGGGGAGGGGCUCAUUUACCGGGAGAACUUUAGAAAACUGCAGAGGCCACCCCACAGCCAGAGGGGUGGGAGUGGGUCACCGUUACUGAUGGAAACAAGUGCUGUCCCUCAGGUGAGCCAGAAGGAUGCCUGUGACAUGGCAAUGGCUGAGAGGCACAGAAGUGCAGCCCCUACCAGUCACCGACCUCAGGUUCGGAUGAACCGGACGGAUACAGAGAGGAUCCUGCAAGCUUCCCAGGAGCCGAGCUCAAUCGACGGGUGUCUCUUUGGAGGCCCUGGGCAUGGCAGUGGGAGGGGGUCUCAGGCUGGGUUACCCUUCCACAGUGGGGGAUGUGACAUUAGCCCAUAUUUCUAUGCUGCAUUGCGCUGGGCACUGGGCCUGGAAGAGCUCAUUUAAUCCUUACCGGGAGGUGGACGCAAUGACCCUUCUCACAGAGACAGAGGCACAUGCAUUGCUAGCAAAGGUCACCGAGCUAGUUAGCAGGUCGCCCAGCUAGUUAGCAGGUCGCCAAGAUAGUAAGCACUGGGAAAAGGCUGGACGCUAGGGAGUCUUUCCACAGCCUAAUAAUUUUUGUCUUACUCGAUUCCUCUCCAGGGUGGCAGGAGGAUUCAGGCAGAACUGGGGGCCGUGUGGAAGUGAGGGCCGGGGAGCCUGAGCCUCCCUGGCUGCCUCUGGGGUCUGGUGCUCCCAGGAGAGAAGGCCUUUGGGAUUUCCCUGGAGAAGAGCCAUCUCGGGUCCAGUAUGUUCAGACUGGAGGUUCUCCUCCACGUUACCGAGCCUCAGCCGGGUAAUGGGGAUGCAGAAAAGUGAGAGUGGUUUAUAAAUGUUAGGGCUUUCCCUUUUAAACUACUUCCUCAUGAUUAAGAGAAAGCGAGAGCUAAGGAUCUGCUAAGUGCCUGGCGCUGUCUGAAGAGCUGUGCUGCGGUGUUUGGUGCCAACCCCGGGUGGCACUGCUCAGUGAAGCUGCUGAGGCCAGAGACCCCUACUAAGGGAGGCAGAUGGGAAG